CUGUGACCACACACUGACUGGUAGGUUUUUGAUCAGAGUGUGGAAAUAAUCCCACCAACACCAGAGGAGAUAAAAAGACUCAGUCUGGAGAAAGUGAGACAAAGGGCCAGCAGAGGGCAGAGUAUUACAAGCAGAUUGCACACAGAUAACAUGCAGAGAAGAGAAACGGCCUGAACCUGCAGUUGACGAGUCUCUGUUUGUGAAGCAAAGCAGUAGUCCAGCUCACAGACGUACAGCUUUGGCCGUCCUGUCUGCUCUGCUCAGUCCUCGCUGGAAGACUCUUCCGUCACCUCACGUUCCCGUUCUGUCUCUCCACGGCUCUCUCUCCACCGGCGUGAUGACACACUUCUCAUUGGCCUCUCCACUGGCCUCUUCGACACAAACAACCCAAAGAUGCUGAGGACGUGCUCUUUACCAGACCUCAGUAAAGUGUUCAGUGAUGCUGCAGAAGCUGAAGGUGCAGUCGCUCCUGACAGCAACCUGGAGAUUGAAGAUUUGGAGGAUAAAGCGGAUGAGAAGUCUGAAUCUGAGGAUGUAUAUGAGGAUGAUGAUUUGAGGGAGCUCAGAGCAUCUAUGGAUAGGCUUCUCCGGGAGCAGCGCAGUGAUAAUAAAGAUGAUGAUGAUGAUGAUGAGGAAGAUGGUGGUGGAUCCAGGGCUGGUGAUGACAAACACAGUCCAGAGGAACAGAGUGUUUUAAUGGAAUGGCUGAGCAAGAUGAUGAUGUAAGCCAUGGUGAAGAAGAACCUGGAGGGUCAGUUACUAACGGAAUGGAGGUUGAGGAAGAUGAAGAGCAGAACCGCAGUGAAGGCCAGCUCAAUGAGGAGUGGCGGUUAUGUAUCCAUAAACCGCUGCAUAUGAUAACCGUAUCCUCAAACAGAGCACAAGGGCUGAAUGCAUGCACAAACACAGAACAGAACAGCUGCUAACUGUAUCCAUGAUUACAGCAUUGUGGCUAUCUAGAUCCACAAACACAGCAUACAGCUAACUUUAUCAUACAUCUGUGAACAUAACAAAACAGCUUAAUGUACAUGUCAACACAGUGCAACAGCUAUCCACAACCGUUAAUGCAACACCUAACCUAACCACAGUGAAACAGCUAACCUCUUCUGUUAGCACAGCACAACAGCUAACCCCAACCACUAACACAGCACAGUGGACAACUUAAUACACUAAAACAGCGAAUUACAACACUGCUCACUUCAUACACAAACACAACACAAUUACUAACUGCAUGUGUCAACACAGAAUAACAGAUAACUGUGUCUGCAAGCAGAGGUUAAAUGCUAACAUACUCUUUAAAUGCAACCCAAUAACUAAUCAUUUUCACAAACACGACAGCUAACCUCGUGUAUUGUGUAUACACAACUAACUAUAUUUAAAACAACUCUGAACAAUUACAUUAGCAAACACAUCUCUAUUGAACAAAAACAUUAUUGCAACAAACAUGUUCAACUGUUGCUAAGCUCACUAAAAAUGAAGUACUGUGUUUAUUGAGCUAAAUAUAUUGUUGUAGCUAAUUACAUCUGACGAUGGAUUGGGUUUGCAUGACUACAGUGUGGAAUGAUGUUGGCAAAUGACACUUUCAAUACUGAUAUAGGUCAGCAUAGUAUCAGCCAAUGUUCCACAACAAUACACUCUCAUUGUGUGAACUUUGAUAGAUUGUAGUGCAUGCUUUAUCUCUGUGCAUGGAUGUGAAUGCAGAUGACAGUGAGGAAGAGGAAGAUGAAGACCUAGAGCAACAGCACAGCAUCUUCAGUCGUCUGGAGGAGCUGCGGUUCCAUCUAGAGCAGGCCAUGGGCUUUGAGAACUUCUUUCUAGCCUACAACAAGAUCAAGGGUAUGAGGAUGAAGGAUUCAAUAGGAUGAAGAUGAGAACUUUGCUGUGGGCUCCAGCAUGGUGCAAAGCAUUUUUGGAACUGAGCACCAGCACUUGUAUCCUAAAAUCCUCCAUUUGGUGAUGGCAGAUGGAGCUUACCAGGAAGAUAAUGAUGAAUAGAAGUUAUUCAUCCGUGCCGUUGGCAGCCUUGGACAAUCUGCUGGCAGGCUGAAGUAUUCCCAUGAUGCACUCUGACAGGCUGAGGAGGUGCAUGUGGAGGAAGGGGGG